AGCUCCAAUAGCGUAUAUUAAAGUUGUUGCGGUUAAAAAGCUCGUAGUUGGAUUUCUGUCGGUGAGGUUCAGUCCGCCCAAGUGGUUGGUACGUGAUCCGCCACCGGCAUCUUCCUGGGGAAUGUGUCUGCUCUUAAUUGGGUGGUACAUAAGCCAGGACUUUUACUUUGAAGAAAUGAGAGUGUUUCAAGCAGGCAUGCGCCGUGAAUACGUUAGCAUGGGAUAAUAGCAUCGGACCUCGUUCCAAAGCUGUUGGUUUCUUGGACCGAGGUAAAGGUGAAUAGGGAUUGUUGGGGGCAUUCGUAUUUGACUGUCAGAGGUGAAAUUCUUGGAUUUGUUGAAGACGGACUACUGCGAAAGCAUCUGCCAAAGAUGUUCUCA
rnacentral:rRNA from 1 species